AUUGAACGCUGGCGGCAUGCUUUACACAUGCAAGUCGAACGGUAACAGGCCUUCGGGUGCUGACGAGUGGCGCACGGGUGAGUAAUGCAUCGGAACGUGCCCAGAGGUGGGGGAUAACGCAGCGAAAGCUGUGCUAAUACCGCAUGUGAUCUGAGGAUGAAAGCGGGGGACCAGGCAGCAAUGUUUGGCCUCGCGCCUUUGGAGCGGCCGAUGUCAGAUUAGGUAGUUGGUGGGGUAAAGGCCUACCAAGCCGACGAUCUGUAGCUGGUCUGAGAGGACGACCAGCCACACUGGGACUGAGACACGGCCCAGACUCCUACGGGAGGCAGCAGUGGGGAAUUUUGGACAAAGGGCGCAAGCCUGAUCCAGCAAUGCCGCGUGCGGGAAGAAGGCCUUCGGGUUGUAAACCGCUUUUGUACGGAACGAAAAGGCUCUGGCUAAUACCUGGGGCUGAUGACGGUACCGUAAGAAUAAGCACCGGCUAACUACGUG
rnacentral:rRNA from 1 species